GGACUACACGGGUUUCUAAUCCCGUUUGCUCCCCUAGCUUUCGCGCCUCAGCGUCAGUAUCCGUCCAGAAGGCCGCCUUCGCCACUGGUAUUCCUCCCGAUAUCUACGCAUUUCACCGCUACACCGGGAAUUCUGCCUUCCUCUCCGGAACUCAAAUUCAACAGUUUCUUGUGCACUUCCCGAGUUAAGCCCGGGGCUUUCACACAAGACUUGUCAAAUCGCCUACGCGCCCUUUACGCCCAAUAAUUCCGAGUAACGCUUGCUCCCUCCGUAUUACCGCGGCGGCUGGCAC
rnacentral:misc_RNA from 1 species